AUGGGUAUGGUUUAGGGUACAGGUUAGGGUAUGCAACAGUUUAGGGUUAGCGUACAUGUUAGGGUACGGGUUAGUGUUAGUGUCUGGGUUAGGAUGAGAGUACAUGUUUGGGUAAGGCUUCGGGUAAGGGUUAGGGUUAGGGAACGAGUACAUUUUAGGGUACACGUUAGUGUACGACAACGAGUUAGGGUUAAUGUACGUGUUAGCGUAAGGGUUAGUAUUAGUGUAUGGGUUAGCAUUAGGGUACCGUUUAGGGUACAGGUUAGUGUACAACAAUGGGUUAGAUUUAGGGUACGUGUUAGGGUACGGGUUAUUGUUAGUGUACAGUUUAGGAUUAUUGUAUGGGUUUGGUAAGGCUUAGGGUAAGGGUUAGUGUUACAGUUAGGGUUAGGUAUAGGUUAGGGAUCGGGUACAGUUUAUGGUAUAUUUUAGGGUAUGACAACGCUUUAGGGUUAGGGUAUGUGUUAGGGUAUGGUUUAGUGUUAGCAUACAGGUUAGGAUUAGGGUACGGUUUAGUGUAAGGCUUAGGGUAAGUGUUAGGGUUAGAGUUAGGGUUAUAGUUAGGGAACGGUUUAGCAUACAUUUUAGGGUACGACAAUGGUUUAGGGUUAGGGUACGUGUUAGGGUAUGGGUUAGUGUUAAUGUAUGGUUUAGGAUUAGGUUACGGGUUACGGUAAGGCUUAGGGUAAGGGUACGAUUUAGGGUACAGGUUAGGGUACGAC